rnacentral:rRNA from 1 species
GAGUUUGAUCAUGGCUCAGAUUGAACGCUGGCGGCAUGCCUUACACAUGCAAGUCGAACGGCAGCACGGGAGCUUGCUCCUGGUGGCGAGUGGCGAACGGGUGAGUAAUGCAUCGGAACGUAUCCUGGAGUGGGGGAUAACGUAGCGAAAGUUACGCUAAUACCGCAUAUUCUGUGAGCAGGAAAGCGGGGGACCUUCGGGCCUCGCGCUCUUGGAGCGGCCGAUGUCGGAUUAGCUAGUUGGUGAGGUAAGGGCUCACCAAGGCGACGAUCCGUAGCAGGUCUGAGAGGAUGAUCUGCCACACUGGAACUGAGACACGGUCCAGACUCCCACGGGAGGCAGCAGUGGGGAAUUUUGGACAAUGGGGGCAACCCUGAUCCAGCCAUGCCGCGUGAGUGAAGAAGGCCU